rnacentral:rRNA from 1 species
CACGCCGUAAACGAUGGGUACUAGGUGUUGGGGGUAUCGACCCCCCCAGUGCCGCAGUUAACACAAUAAGUACCCCGCCUGGGGAGUACGGCCGCAAGGCUGAAACUCAAAGGAAUUGACGGGGGCCCGCACAAGCGGUGGAGCAUGUGGUUUAAUUCGACGCAACGCGAAGAACCUUACCGGGGUUUGACAUCCCGCGAACCUGGUGGAAACACUGGGGUGCCGGUUUCCGGAGCGCGGAGACAGGUGGUGCAUGGUUGUCGUCAGCUCGUGUCGUGAGAUGUUGGGUUAAGUCCCGCAACGAGCGCAACCCUUACCUUUAGUUGCCAGCGGGUAAUGCCGGGCACUCUAAAGGGACUGCCGGUGACAAACCGGAGGAAGGUGGGGAUGACGUCAAAUUCAUCACAUCAUGCCCUUUAUAUCCCGGGCUACACACGUGCUACAAUGGCCGGUACAGAGGGGGGCGAACCCGCGAGGGGGAGCAAAUCCCAAAAAGCCGGUCUCAGUUCGGAUUGCAGGCUGCAACUCGCCUGCAUGAAGUCGGAAUCGCUAGUAAUCGCGGAUCAGCAUGCCGCGGUGAAUACGUUCCCGGGCCUUGCACUCACCGCCCGU